rnacentral:lncRNA from 1 species
GACCGUAGCUUUGUUGUUAUUUUGUCGCUACCUGUACUGAAGAUUCUGGGUUGAGCAGGUCCGCGAUGCCAUAACUUCGGUUCAGAAGCUUUUCGGAUCACCAUCGGCCAAACGACCGAAGGUCACUCCUAGAUCAAGCUGAAGAAUUUGCAGAUACUUGUGAUUUUUGAAUGACCGGCCGGGGCUUCAUUUCUAUGCCUAGUGCUUCAUUGUUUCCCAUGCCUACCGUGUGUUUGUAGUCUCCUAUAAUUUGUUCUCCAACAAUGUGUUCCUCUCACGAUUUUUCGCAGAUGUGGGACGGGCCUAGGCUUAGACAAGUGGUGCAUACGGCGUACGUGUAGACGAGAUUUGUGCUUCGAGAGCCAAUUUGCGGUCGGCAUUUCCUUCCUUUCACUACAUGUAUCUCGAUUUAACCAAUCAACCAACCAACCUUGACAUGGUUCGAUGUAUGCAUAAUUUGAUAAAAAAUUCUACGGGUAGGGUUUAGAUCGAACGUAAUAUGGCUGGGGUCUAUUGUGGUUUGGUCGGGUUUGGUCCAGUUCUCUAAUAGUAGUUGGAUUUGAGGUGAUCCAUCUGCGUUUUCUCUAGUUGUAAUAGCUUAGUAGAAGAAAGCAUUAGUACAGCCAUUUAGGCUUGUAACCCAAUUUUAGCACUAGUUGCGAGUUGCGACGUAGACGGAUUGUGAAGACUAACCUGUGGUCGACUUUCUAGGGGUUGGGAUACGCUAUAUCUCGAUGUUAGGUUGGAUUUCACGGUUGGUUCUCUGGUCAAAACUCACCUUGGGUAGUUAAUCAACCUCGCAAACUUAUUUGGGCACCGAAACAUAACCUUACGAUCCGGAUGCUUUUCCCCGACUCGAAAAAUUCGGUUGAACCCUGAAACUCACUUCCACUCUAAACCCGUAACUUGAACCUGGUUGUUAAAUUAUAUUUAUCAAGUUACCGAUUUUGGUACAAAGCAAUAGUUAAGUGACCCAAAUGGCUAAUUAAGUAAUUAUCCGGUAAAACUGUAAAAUAACCCGAAUUUGACCCGACCCGUAAUAGGUUCUGCCCAUCUCCUCAGUCUUCACCAGCUCACUCAUCGCUCUAUCAAAGGGUUUAACAUCUCAGACAAUUUUUAGGGUUUAAGUUCUUCCAAUCGAAACCAACAAUGGCGGCAACUUCGAUCGCAACCAUUUCCCGCAGGCUCUCCCGCUCCAUUCUCUCAAACCAUAACAUCCCUCACGCUUCCGUCCCCUUCUGCACAACCACUGCCUCAUCUCCCGAGGUCGACCCGGACUCCAUCAACCCAGACGCCGAUCCAAU